rnacentral:rRNA from 1 species
AUUGAACGCUGGCGGCAGGCCUAACACAUGCAAGUCGAGCGGAUGACGGGAGCUUGCUCCUUGAUUCAGCGGCGGACGGGUGAGUAAUGCCUAGGAAUCUGCCCGGUAGUGGGGGACAACGUUUCGAAAGGAACGCUAAUACCGCAUACGUCCUACGGGAGAAAGCAGGGGACCUUCGGGCCUUGCUCUAUCAGAUGAGCCUAGGCCGGAUUAGCUAGUUGGUGAGGUAAUGGCUCACCAAGGCUACGAUCCGUAACUCGUCUGAGAGGCUGAUCAGUCACAAUGGAGCUGAGACACGGGCCAGACUCAUACGGGAGGCAGCAGUGGGGAAUAUUGGACAAUGGGCGAAAGCCUGAUCCAGCCAUGCCGCGUGUGUGAAGAAGGUCUUCGGAUUGUAAAGCACUUUAAGUUGGUAGGAAGGGCAGUAAGUUAAUACCUUGCUGUUUUGACGUUACCAACAGAAUAAGCACCGGCUAACUCUGUGCCAGCAGCCGCGGUAACAC